UGUGUGUGCAAGAAUGCAAAGCAUUGACCCC
rnacentral:piRNA from 1 species